GUCGGACGGGAUCCAUUCUAAGCUUGCUUCAAGUAUGGUGAGAGUGGCGCACGGCCGUUUAACGCGUGAGCAACCUGCCCAUAUCAGGGGUAUAGCCCGACUUAAUUCGGAUUAACACCGCAUGAGAUCACACUUCCGCAUGGUAGAGUGAUUAAAUAUUUAUAGGAUAUGGAUGGGCUCGCGUGACAUUAGCUAGUUGGUAGGGUAACGGCUUACCAAGGCUACGAUGUCUAGGGGCUCUGAGAGGAGAAUCCCCCACACUGGUACUGAGACACGGACCAGACUCCUACGGGAGGCAGCAGUAAGGAAUAUUGGUCAAUGGAGGGAACUCUGAACCAGCCAUGCCGCGUGCAGGAUGACUGCCCUAUGGGUUGUAAACUGCUUUUGUCAGGGAAUAAACCUUUCUACGUGUAGGAAGCUGAAUGUACCUGAAGAAUAAGGAUCGGCUAACUCCGUGCCAGCAGCCGCGGUAAUACGGAGGAUCCGAGCGUUAUCCGGAUUUAUUGGGUUUAAAGGGCUGCGUAGGCGGCUCAUUAAGUCAGGGGUGAAAUACGGCAGCUCAACUGUCGCAGUGCCUUUGAUACUGAUGGGCUUGAAUGUGGUUGAAGAUGGCGGAAUGAGACAAGUAGCGGUGAAAUGCAUAGAUAUGUCUCAGAACUCCGAUUGCGAAGGCAGCUAUCUAAGCCAUUAUUGACGCUGAUGCACGAAAGCGUGGGGAUCAAACAGGAUUAGAUACCCUGGUAGUCCACGCCCUAAACGAUGAUAACUCGAUGUUAGCGAUACACAGUUAGCGUCUUAGCGAAAGCGUUAAGUUAUCCACCUGGGGAGUACGCCCGCAAGGGUGAAA
rnacentral:rRNA from 1 species